rnacentral:rRNA from 1 species
GACGAACGCUGGCGGCGUGCUUAACACAUGCAAGUCGAACGGAAAGGCCCUGCUUUUGUGGGGUGCUCGAGUGGCGAACGGGUGAGUAACACGUGGGUAACCUGCCCUUGACUUUGGGAUAACUCCAGGAAACUGGGGCUAAUACCGGAUAGGAGCUCCUGCUGCAGGGUGGGGGUGGGAAAGUUUCGGCGGUUGGGGAUGGACUCGCGGCUUAUCAGCUUGUUGGUGGGGUAGUGGCUUACCAAGGCUUUGACGGGUAGCCGGCCUGAGAGGGUGACCGGCCACAUUGGGACUGAGAUACGGCCCAGACUCCUACGGGAGGCAGCAGUGGGGAAUAUUGCACAAUGGGCGGAAGCCUGAUGCAGCAACGCCGCGUGCGGGAUGACGGCCUUCGGGUUGUAAACCGCUUUCGCCUGUGACGAAGCGUGAGUGACGGUAAUGGGUAAAGAAGCACCGGCUAACUACGUG